UAAAAGUUGCGGUGAUAUCAGGAGAAAAGAGAGAGAAUCCAUUUCUGGUAUAAAACAAGCUUAUAGAAUACAGCAAGCAUACACAACAUAUUCCAUACAAAACUAGUAGUGUCGCAGACACACUAAAUUUUGUUACAACUCCUCAGUUCACAUGCUUGGCUCGUAUAAUAGCGGUUUAACACAAAAUUACGUUACAACUCCUCAAUUCACAUUCUUGGCUCAGACAAUAGCGGUUUAACAUAUAAUUAUUCCCAAAAAUAAAAGUUCUGAUUACCAAAGAAGUUACAAGAACAUCACCUUCUCAAUGGCCAAAUUAAUCCACACUUAGACAAACAUGAUCCAAGCAUCUUAACUCCACAGCGCAAGCCAUCAUUUGCUGUUCAGUUUUCUCAUUCUCGUUUUACUUCUUUCAUUGGAUAUCAUCAUUGAGGUUGGGGACAUAUAGUCUUCCUGCAGAAAGUUCCCAACUACAAACAAUUUCUUAGAUUUGAAAUAAAUUGAUUCUUUUUCCAUCAAUAACUUGCUUCUUCUGUUUCAAACAUGCUGUUAUGUUUCCAGCCUCAUCUUUGGGCAUAAAACCAAUAUGUUUCCAGCCUCAUCUUUAAGCAUAUAACCAAUUUCAGACUUUCCAUCACAUACAGCUUGGAUACAUUUUGUGCACCAACUCCAUUGCUGGCUUGAGGUAAAAAAUAUGGAAUUAAUCCCUCUUAGUGCAACACAUAAAGAUGCUAGCGGGUGGCCAAAUAGCUAGCUAAAAAUCCACGUUGUGAUAUAUCUUUCUUCCAAUGUUUGGAUGGCUUGUUCUGAAAGCAUGUAACAAUUCUAUCCCAAUAAAAGCAAAACCCAGCAAAACCCUUCUACGGCCUGUUUGGCACUGCAGGGCGCACAAACCCAAAAUGCAGCUGGGGCAAGCAAGCACCUUCUUUCCCCAGCUACAUUUUGGGACCUAUGAGUUUGUGCAUCCAGACCCCCCCACAGCACCAAAAUCUCAAUGAAGACCACUGUUGAAAUAACUACACAUUGAAGGGUUCCCAAGAUGCAAAAGGCCAGUAAAUUGGGCUGUGCAACCUCUGAAAAUUGUAAGGCAUAACGUCGCAUUUAAGAUUGUCCGAGCACUUCUUUAAAUAUUGUCCUAGAGGAAAAAGUUAAGACCUUUCCCAUGAAUAAGAAAUUAAAAUAACUAUUCCUACACACUUGUUCUUCCACCAGAAAUCAACUCACACCAUUACCACCAACUAUCAGAUUGUAAGGAAGAAGAGCAUUCUCUAAUGUCAGACCCUGAAUCAGUAUUGGCCUCUGCAAGAGUAAUAGUAAGUGGUUGCCACCCAGAAUGAUGGUGUAUAAUCCAUUUCUUUAUGUCUAUUACCAUGUUUAAGAUCUGAAGUACAUUACCCAAAGCAAAAUCUUUCAAGCACAUGCUCUUUAAAAUAGUAGCAGCUUCAUACCUAUAUAAUAAUUGAGAGGGAAUGCAGGACAGCAUUUUCAGUCAGAGAAGAGCCAUGGGAAGCCAAAAUGAUUCAAAAAAACAGUGAUGAUUUUUACCUGCACUGAGAAGAUAGAAUUGCAGAUCGCCCAGCAGGAGAUGCCAGAUAUUUCUGAAUUUCAUCCCACGUUGCUUUUCGAUAUGAAUUAGGAUUGCCACCUAUAGGGUUCACACAUUUCCAGAGUUUCUCAUUCUUACCAACAUACAACUGCACAGCUCCUAAGUUCUGCUUCACAAUCAUCUGCUGCUCAAUAGCACUCUCAAGAGCCUUCUUAAUGUCAGUAUUGCGAUGCUUGGGAUCUCCAUAUCGAAUGCAAUCAACUAUAUUAGCUUCAGUUGGCAUUAGCUUCUCACUUUUAAGGGUGUUCAAAGCAAGUAACAUAACUCCUAUAAGGCCUUGAACAUAUAUUGGAGGUUUGGGGCAUCCUGGACUCCCCCAUAUAACAUUAGCAGAAGCAACAUCAGCAGCUGCCGUUUCUGUUGCUGAUGAAGAUGGUGGAUAUUCUGGGUAAACAGGGUACCUUUUUGGUGUCUCGUGGUAUCCUGAUGGCAUGUUCUGUGGCACAUAUCCAUUUUGUGAGUUACUUAAGUUAACAGACUUUGAAGCUUUUUUCUUUGGAUCAUGCUUUGGCUCUCCACCUCGUCUUUGAGGAGUUGGAGGGUUGUGAAAGCUGGUUGAGUAUGCAGAAAUGUUCAAAUUACCAAUAUCAGGCACAUUUGUAUUUGGCGAUGAGGUAAAGGUAGUCCCAUUUGGCCUAGCAGGCAUCAGAGGAGGAGCAUGGGUUUGAAUAUUAGGUGGGUACAAACUACCUGCUGUAAAAUCAAGUUGCAUAGCUGGAACAUUUGGCCUUAAUGGUUGCGGAUAUUGAUUUUGAUGGUUGCCAUGAACAUGAGUGAGCUCAUUCCGAGUAAAGUUAGGAUUUCCAUGAAAAAAAUCUGGAGGAGGUAUAUUUAGGGGACCUUUUGGGACAGUAGGACCAGGUUGGUAAGAGUUUGAAUUAUGCGGAUCUUCUUGGGUCCUGACAGGCAUAUUUGAUGUUUUUGAUCCAUUUGAUUGGUUCAAAUUUCUUCGGGUGGUUUUCCCUUUCUGUUUAGUUGUGUAAGGAGUUCUCUGAUUUCCCAUAGUGGAAUUUUCAGGAUACAUAUCCACUGGUUGCUUUAUGUGAAUGGCAUCAGAAAUUGGAAUCUGUAAAGUGUCUAAACUGGAUGUAAAAC
rnacentral:misc_RNA from 1 species